UUGGAGGUUGUGCCCUUGAGGCGUGGCUUCCGGAGCUAACGCGUUAAGUCGACCGCCUGGGGAGUACGGCCGCAAGGUUAAAACUCAAAUGAAUUGACGGGGGCCCGCACAAGCGGUGGAGCAUGUGGUUUAAUUCGAUGCAACGCGAAGAACCUUACCUACUCUUGACAUCCAGAGAAUUCGCUAGAGAUAGCUUAGUGCCUUCGGGAACUCUGAGACAGGUGCUGCAUGGCUGUCGUCAGCUCGUGUUGUGAAAUGUUGGGUUAAGUCCCGCAACGAGCGCAACCCUUAUCCUUUGUUGCCAGCACGUAAUGGUGGGAACUCAAAGGAGACUGCCGGUGACAAACCGGAGGAAGGUGGGGAUGACGUCAAGUCAUCAUGGCCCUUACGAGUAGGGCUACACACGUGCUACAAUGGCAUAUACAAAGAGAAGCAAACUCGCGAGAGCAAGCGGACCUCAUAAAGUAUGUCGUAGUCCGGAUUGGAGUCUGCAACUCGACUCCAUGAAGUCGGAAUCGCUAGUAAUCGUAGAUCAGAAUGCUACGGUGAAUACGUUCCCGGGCCUUGUACACACCGCCCGUCACACCAUGGGAGUGGGUUGCAAAAGAAGUAGGUAGCUUAAC
rnacentral:rRNA from 1 species